UUUGCAUGUUUAGCAGAGACGGGGGUUUCACCAUCUUGCCCAGGCUAGUCUCAAACUCGACCUCGUGAUCCACCCGCCUCAGAAUUACAGGAAGCCAUCAUUCUGUAGAAGGCAGUGACGGAACAGUACCAGCAGAAAUUGAAGGACCAGCAGAAGGGAUCAUGGCCAAAGUUGCAGUGUCCCCCCGCUCGUUGAAGAUGAGGAGUUCUCAGAGAGCGGGAUGUUUGUGACAUUCCUCAUGUCAGCUCUCGAGUCCAUGUUUCUUUAUUUGUAGGCAUAGCUGCAUAAAGAAACCAGUUGGCCCACCAGCACCAGGGCUUCUCCACCCCUGACCACAUACCAGGAGAUAAGAUCCCC
rnacentral:lncRNA from 1 species